rnacentral:rRNA from 1 species
UGCGUAGGUGGCAGGGUAAGUUUGAUGUGAAAUCUCCGAGCUCAACUCGGAAACUGCAUUGAAUACUAUCCUGCUUGAGGAUUGGAGGGGAGACUGGAAUUCUCGGUGUAGCAGUGAAAUGCGUAGAUAUCGAGAGGAACACCAGUGGCGAAGGCGAGUCUCUAGACAACUCCUGACACUGAGGCACGAAAGCUAGGGGAGCAAACA